UGAGGAACAUGACCUUCGGCGGAGGAUAGCCGGCCCAACGGCCGGGUAAUACCGCGUACGACCACAUGGGGACAUCCCCGAGUGGUGAAAGCAGCAAUGCGCCGAUGGAGUGCCUCGCGGCCUAUCAGCUAGUUGGUGAGGUAACAGCUCACCAAGGCGACGACGGGUAGCUGGUCUGAGAGGAUGGCCAGCCACAUUGGGACUGAGACACGGCCCAGAUCCGUACGGG
rnacentral:rRNA from 1 species